CCAUUAUUGAUAACUUUCUCUGUCUCUCUCUCUCCAUAAGCUGUUCAUCUCCCCCAACCACAACAAACCAACUAGCUUUGCUUUGGUUUCUGUCCAGGACAAGAGCAUCAUCCUUAAUCCCCUUUGUUUUUUUUUUUUGCAAUUGGUUUUUCUGAAGAAUAUUUUAGGAAAAAAAAAAAAAAAAAACUUUGGAGAAGAAUGAAUGAAAAGGAAUAAACAAAUUCUAAAGCCUCAAAUUUGGAAUAUUCCAAUUUCUCAUCUUCCUUUCUUCCUUACUGAUUCGUGACCUCUGUUUCAUUUUUUCUUUUUGUUUUUUCAAUCUCUCUGUUCCUCGUAACAGUAAAGCUUCAAGGCUCUCCCUUUGAUCGGAUGAUUCUCAUCACUUUCUCAAUCUGAAUCUUUCGAUUCUCAAAUCGUAUUGGAUUUUUAGAUCUGGUGCUGUAAUAACAACAAACCAGCUGCUCUGUUUUUUUUUUUUUUUUAAUUAAAGUUUCAAAAUUUGGGAGCUUUGUUUGCGAAUUGCUGUAAUGGAUUUGGAUGAUUUCCGGACGGUUAUGGACAACGCCGGCGUCGAUGUUUGGACAUUUAUAGAUACUGCGAUCCUCGUGGCGUCGCUUGAUUACGGUCACGAGCUGAAGCAGAGGAGAGAUAACAUCGUCGAGCGUCUCUACGCGACCUCCAUGGCUAACAAGUGUAGAAACUGCGACUAUGGCGGCGGAGGAACCGUUGCGGCUGGUGCUAGGGCUAAUGGGAGGGUUCACGAGGAGACGGAGGAAGAAGAAGAAGAAGUAAGAGAGAAAUCAGUUAAUGGUGAUGACGAGGAGGAUGAUGAUGACGACGAUGAGGAUCCGUUUGCUGGUUUGUUUGAUGAUGAGCAGAAGAGUAUUCUUGAAAUCAAGGAGAAGCUUGAAGAACCUAAUCUGAGUGAAGAAGCUUUGGUGGAGUUGCUUCAGAAUCUGGAAGAUAUGGAGAUAACAUUCCAAGCUCUUCAGGAAACUGAUAUUGGGAGGUAUGUGAAUCGAGAUCGAGUUCGGAAGCAUCCAUCCAACGAAGUUCGGAGAUUAGCUAAACAACUUGUCAAAAAAUGGAAAGAAACAGUGGACGAAUGGGUCAAAUUCAACCAGCCUGGUGAUCUCCAUCCUCCUAGUUUAAUAGCUGAUGAGGACUCACCGCAGCAGAGAGCUGUCCACCAACAGGUUCCUGACUUUGGGUAUUCGCCAGCUCCUCAAGCAAGCAAGCAUAGUAACAUCACUAAGCCAGAGAGGAAGCCUAGACCUGUUGCUCCUCCUCCUAGGAGAGAAACUCCUUCUCCUGCUAAACCUUCUCGUCCUUCUCCUUCUCAACAACAACCCAUUCAGAGGGAGAAGGAGCAUAAAGAAAUUGAUUUUGACUCUGCUCGGAAAAGACUACAACAAAACUACAGACAGGCUGAGAAUGCUAAAAAGCAAAGGACUAUACAGGUGAUGGACAUUCAUGAGAUCCCUAAACCCAAGAAGGGUGGGUUUUUUCCAAGAAAAGGAGGGAGUUCUCAGGGAGGUGGUAGACACUGGUAGACUAAAUGAAGAAGAUGAUGAAGAGAAUUGAGUGAACCGAGUUAGUAGAGGAAUGUAAAAGACAGAGAACAAAGCUCUGUUUUUUUGAGACAGGCACAAGAGGAAAGACAGUGAAAUCUAAAAAAAAUGUUUGGAAUUAAGUUGAUUCACAGUUUGCUGGAAUUUUUUUUAUUCAGUUGCUGUCAAUGUAAAUAAAUGUCUAAUAAACGGGUCAAUGUAAAGUGAGGAUUGUAAUCUUUGUUUAGCUUAUCUUUUAGUUUGAGGGUUGUAAAAAAUUGUUUUAGAUUUAAUAAUCGAAACACAACAACAACAACAACAAAAAAAAACGUUUUUCGUUUUGUUUUUGACUUUA